GGCGACUUUGGUUCGAUCAGUUGCUCGUAGUUUGAGGAGAAAGAACUUAUCUUCAAUGUAUUGCCCUGCCUCUACAUUGCAGUCACAUGCCACCAGUUUUGGUUUUAAGGACGUAGCAGAAGAAGAAAAGAGCAAGAUGGUUGGGAAUGUCUUUACAAGUGUUGCUUCAAACUAUGAUCUCAUGAAUGAUCUAAUGAGUGGUGGACUUCAUCGUUUGUGGAAGGACAGAUUGGUUUCGAAGUUGAAUCCAUUUCCUGGAAUGAAGCAUCUUGAUGUGGCUGGUGGAA
rnacentral:misc_RNA from 1 species